rnacentral:rRNA from 1 species
GACGAACGCUGGCGGCGUGCUUAACACAUGCAAGUCGAACGGAAAGGCCCUGCUUUUGUGGGGUGCUCGAGUGGCGAACGGGUGAGUAACACGUGAGUAACCUGCCCUUGACUUUGGGAUAACUUCAGGAAACUGGGGCUAAUACCGGAUAGGAGCUCCUGCUGCAUGGUGGGGGUUGGAAAGUUUCGGCGGUUGGGGAUGGACUCGCGGCUUAUCAGCUUGUUGGUGGGGUAGUGGCUUACCAAGGCUUUGACGGGUAGCCGGCCUGAGAGGGUGACCGGACACAUUGGGACUGAGAUACGGCCCAGACUCCUACGGGAGGCAGCAGUGGGGAAUAUUGCACAAUGGGCGGAAGCCUGAUGCAGCAACCCCGCGUGCGGGAUGACGGCCUUCGGGUUGUAAACCGCUUUCGCCUGUGACGAAGCGUGAGUGACGGUAAUGGGUAAAGAAGCACCGGCUAACUACGUG